GGCUUUCGGCUACCACUUACAGAUGGACCCGCGGGCGCAUUAAGCUAGUUGGUGAGGUAACGGCUCACCAAGGCAACGAUGCGUAGCCGACCUGAGAGGGUGAUCGGCCACACUGGGACUGAGACACGGCCCAGACUCCUACGGGAGGCAGCAGUAGGGAAUCUUCCGCAAUGGACGAAAGUCUGACGGAGCAACGCCGCGUGAGUGAUGAAGGUUUUCGGAUCGUAAAGCUCUGUUGUUAGGGAAGAACAAGUACCGUUCGAAUAGGGCGGUACCUUGACGGUACC
rnacentral:rRNA from 1 species